AACAAAGGUUCAGAAAGCGAAAAUCAAAAAGGAUAGGUGCAGAGACUCGAUGGAAGCUGUUCUAACGAAUGGAGUUCAUUGUCUUACGUUGGUAGAGGAAUCCUUCUAUCGAAACUUCAUAAAAGAUGAAGGAUAAACCUGUAUACAUAAUAUAGAAGAAUUGUUGUGAAUCGAUUCCAUAUUGAAGAAAGAAUCGAAUAUUCAUUGAUCAAACAAUUCACUCCAUAAUCUGAUAUAUCUUUUGAAGAACUUAUUAAUCGGACGAGAAUAAAGAUAGAGUCCCGUUCUACAUGUCAAUACCGGCAACAAUGAAAUUUAUAGUAAGAGGAAAAUCCGUCGAUUUAAAAAAUCGUGAGGGUUCAAGUCCCUCUAUCCCCA
rnacentral:precursor_RNA from 1 species